UAAAAGAUUUAUAAAAUUAUUUUGCUUGUCUAGUAUUUAACUUUUUGAAAAUAAUGUUAACGUUUUUAAUAACAUUCCAUCGUUCCUUUUCUGGCAGUUAAGAACAUAAUAAAUAUCGUGAUUAAUACUAUCAAAAUGAGCACAGAAGAUAAACUUUUUAAAAUUUUUCAAAGAAUAACCGGUUUACAAAUAUUCUGUUAUUUGAAUACAGGCUUUCACUGUUAGAAUUCAUGGUAAAAUAAUUAUAAUUCGAAGAUUCGAACUGAGAAACCGUAGUUUCAAUGAACUAUUACAUCCAGACGUUUAGUCAGACAAUUUGUGGGACAACAUUGGGAAUAAAACCGGUAAAACCUUAUCAUAUUUAGUAAGUAAAUGAUGAAACACACCUCGAAAUUAACACUAUCUACCUAUAAUUACAUGAUAUAUAGUGCUUAGCCUUUUCUGCACAUAUGUGAAUUCCGUUGCACAAAAAUUGUUUAUUCAUGUUGGAAUUCCAUUUAUAUAUAAUAUGAAAAGGAUAAUAAAUAAAUCACCGUGACAUGAUUUUCUACCCUUCGAAGGAAUCUUCAGAACACAGUGAUGAAUUUUAGACUAUGUAAUACCUAAUUCUAACAUUAUAUAUUGAUAGUUGAACAAAAUAUUGAUAUGUAGCAAUGAGGAUCAACUGAUGACUGUAUAAUACUAGAACUGAGUGUUUUAAAACUCAUCACUAUGAAGAUGUCUUUGAUGUAAUAGCCUGAUAAACUUAGUAAAGUUUGUUUCUUUACUCUUUAUUCUCAUUGUAAAUAUCGAAGGAAUUACACCGUAUAGAAACCUGUCUUAUUCAAUAUUUUUAAGACAAACCAAAUUGGCGACCCAGACAAAAUGGUUUUUCAGACUACAGCAUACUAAGAAAGAGGCGGUUUUUCUGCAAUACACCUGUUGUACAACGAAACAUACAAAAAAUUAGAAGUAGGUGUAUUAGAAGUAUUUCUGUUAUUAUUACCUCAUAUUUAUUUAAUAUUGGGACGUCAAGAAAAUGUUACACCCAAAACAGUUUGAAAUAACAAUUUUCUUGUUAUAUAAGUCAGUAAAUAUUCAUUAUACAUUACAAAAUCUAAGAACGUUAAAUUUUUUGGGUAAACCAAUUUAUUUUGUAAACCUACACACAAAAUUUUCUUUGGUAUUUGUGUGUCAUUUACGGUACUGAAUUUUAAUCAAUUCGUAUAAUUUUUCCGUUGUAUAUAAUACGGAUUCUUAGUAAUUUUAUUUUUAGCACAAACUCGUUUUCUGUUUGAAAUUUUAAAAAGAUUCUCAUGUCAAUAUUUAUCAAAACGUGGGUAUAAAUAUGUAUCACAAGGUUUUAUAUGCAUGCUUUUUACGAGUGUUUAUAUAUUUUUGAGUAUCUAUCAUCUAUAUCGUACUAUUAUCCUAUCUAGUGUCUAAUAGAUUAAAAUAAUAAAUUUCUCAAUAAGAAUAUGCCUCGAUCUACUCCAAACUACAUAUAAAUAUAAUAAAGUUGAAUCAGUAACUACCGCACUAGUUGAAGUUUCAAAUAACGGUGACCGAACUACCAUUAUUCCACUGGACAGGGCACGAUUCCGCCCCACGGUUAAAAGCUAUGGUACGAUUCCGCCCCGAUAUUUUGUGGUCAUUAAAAUCUAUGGAACGAUUCCACCCCGAAGAGAUACAUAGAUCGUCUGACAAAUGGUAGAGAACUAAAAUUCAGGUUGAUGGUACUGAAACAAUAUCUACAAUGUUUGGUGGACUAUAUUUUUAAUUUGCUGUUUUCGUCUUCACCUUGCAACAUUAUGCAGUUAAUUUUCAAAUAAUGAGUGAGAGCAGCUGAAGAUUUAUGUGAAUUCCACUGAAAUAAGAAUUUUUCUGCAUUGUCAUUCCUCUUGGAUUUCAUUUGCUUUUCACACCUGCAAACUUUGGAACAUUACGGUCUACAGUUAAUUAAGAUCGACGUUGGAGAAGA